rnacentral:rRNA from 1 species
GGACCUGACUGCUAUCGGAUUGAUACUAAGCCAUGCGAGUCAUUGUAGCAAUACAAGGCAUACGGCUCAGUAACGCGUAGUCAACCUAACCUAUGGACGGGAAUAACCUCGGGAAACUGAGAAUAAUGCCCGAUAGAACAUUAUGCCUGGAAUGGUUUAUGUUCCAAAUGAUUUAUCGCCGUAGGAUGGGACUGCGGCCUAUCAGUUUGUUGGUGAGGUAAUGGCCCACCAAGACUAUUACAGGUACGGGCUCUGAGAGGAGUAGCCCGGAGAUGGGUACUGAGACACGGACCCAGGCCCUAUGGGGCGCAGCAGGCGAGAAAACUUUGCAAUGUGCGAAAGCACGACAAGGUUAAUCCGAGUGGUUUCUGCUAAAGAAACCUUUUGUCAGUCCUAGAAACACUGAUGAAUAAGGGGUGGGCAAGUUCUGGUGUCAAA